rnacentral:tRNA from 1 species
GCAUUCGUAACAUGCUCAGCUGCUAACUGAAAGACUGGUGGUUCGAGUCCACCCAGAGGCA